rnacentral:rRNA from 1 species
AUUCCAGCUCCAAUAGCGUAUAUUAAAGUUGUUGCGGUUAAAAAGCUCGUAGUUGGAUUUCUGCCGAGGACGACCGGUCCGCCCUCUGGGUGAGCAUCUGGCUCGGCCUGGGCAUCCUCUUGGAGAACGUAGCUGCACUUGACUGUGUGGGGCGGUAUCCAGGACUUUUACUUUGAGGAAAUUAGAGUGUUUCAAGCAGGCAUACGCCUUGAAUACAUUAGCAUGGAAUAAUAAGAUAGGACCUCGGUUCUAUUUUGUUGGUUGGAGGCCAAGGUAAUGAUUAAUAGGGAUAGUUGGGGGUAUUCAUAUUUAAUUGUCAGAGGUGAAAUUCUUGGAUUUAUGAAAGAUGAACUCAUGCGAAAGCAUUUACCAAGGAUGUUUUCAUUG